CCCUUAGAUGUUCUGGGCCGCACGCGCGCUACACUGACUGGUGCAACAAGUGUCUGACCUUGGCUCGAGAGGCCUGGGCAACCUUUGAACGCCAGUCGUGCUGGGGAUAGAUUCUUGCAAUUAUUAAUCUUCAACGAGGAAUUCCUAGUAAACGCAAGUCAUCAGCUUGCAUUGAUUACGUCCCUGCCCUUUGUACACACCGCCCGUCGCUCCUACCGAUUGAAUGGUCCGGUGAGUUGUCGGGAUGAGACGCUUUUGGCGGGCAACUGCGAGAAGCGACUCAGAAUCUCAGCAAACCUUAUCAUUUAGAGGAAGGAGAAGUCGUANCA
rnacentral:rRNA from 1 species